rnacentral:rRNA from 1 species
UACGGAGGGAGCUAGCGUUGUUCGGAAUCACUGGGCGUAAAGGGCGCGUAGGCGGCAUGCCAAGCGUGUGGUGAAAGCCCGGGGCUCAACCCCGGGUCGGCCGUGCGGACUGGCGUGCUCGAGCACUGUAGGGGCGGGUGGAAUUACGGGUGUAGCGGUGGAAUGCGCAGAUAUCGGGAGGAACACCGGUGGCGAAGGCGGGUCUCUGGGCCUUACCUGACGCUCAGGCGCGAAAGCUAGGGGAGCGAACUGG